GACGAACGCUGGCGGCGUGCCUAAUACAUGCAAGUAGAACGCACAGUUUAUACCGUAGCUUGCUACACCAUAGACUGUGAGUUGCGAACGGGUGAGUAACGCGUAGGUAACCUGCCUGGUAGCGGGGGAUAACUAUUGGAAACGAUAGCUAAUACCGCAUAAUAUUAAUUAUUGCAUGAUAAUUAAUUGAAAGGUGCAAUUGCACCACUACCAGAUGGACCUGCGUUGUAUUAGCUAGUAGGUGAGGUAACGGCUCACCUAGGCGACGAUACAUAGCCGACCUGAGAGGGUGGUCGGCCACACUGGGACCGAGACACGGCCCAGACUCCUACGGGAGGCAGCAGUAGGGAAUCUUCGGCAAUGGACGAAAGUCUGACCGAGCAACGCCGCGUGAGUGAAGAAGGUUUUCGGAUCGUAAAGCUCUGUUGUAAGAGAAGAACGGGUGUGAGAGUGGAAAGUUCACACUGUGACGGUAUCUUACCAGAAAGGGACGGCUAACUACGUG
rnacentral:rRNA from 1 species